CAGCGGAGGGGCAAUAGCAUAUAAAUCGGUAGUUAUUAUAAUAUAUCUAUCGUAUUUUAUUAUAUAAAAUUGUUGACUUAUAAAUUCUAGUAAGAAAAAUUUAACUUGUGUAACUGAAUAAAUAAACUAUUUAUAACCUAGGUAAUGUUCUUUAGGUGCCAAUACAUGUACACUAUUGAAAAAGCAAUAAAAGUCAUAAAGCUUUGGUUAAUACAAAAAGGAAUUGGAGUGAAAAUAGGAGGGGUACUAAUAACAAUGCUUCGCUUCGCUGAUGAUAUAGUCGUUCUUGCAACAUCUGAAGAAGACUCACAAACAGCGUUAAAUGCAAUGAAUACUACGUUCAAAGAAUAUAGUCUGAAAAUAAACGCAGCCAAGACCAGUAAGACUUGUAGUAUGCUACAAGAAAGACAUACCACAUAUAAAUAUAACAUUAGAAAACAAAAAAAUUAUCCAAGUAGACUAUUUCAAUUACUUAGGCAGCAUUAUAACAGACGACGGGAAAUCAACCAAGGAAAUCAGGAGCAGGAUAGGUCAAGCAAAGAAUACAUUCCUUAAAAAGAGAAAAGUACUAACAUCAAAAAAUAUGAACAUAGUAACGAAGAAACGGCUCAUAAAAACAUACGUCUGGAGUGUGGCAUUAUACGGAAGUGAAACCUGGACAAUUAAUAAGAAAGAAAAAGAUAUAUUAGAAUCUCUGGAGAUGUGGUGUUGGAGAAAGAUGCAGAGAAUAAGCUGGACUGAUAAAAGAUCAAAUUAAGACAUCCUGAGGACAAUAGAUGAAAAACGAACACUGAUUGACAUUAUAAAGAGAAGGAGAUGGCAGAUGAUAGGACACACGUUGAGGCAUGGAGAUGAAUUGCAUAGUUUAAUAAUUGAAGGAAUGAUAGAGGGUACAAGAUCAAGAGGAAGACCUAGAACGAGGUACAUUAGCCAAAUAAUGCAGGAUGCAGGAGUCACUUCCUACAGGGAGCUUAAGAUUAUGGCGAAUGAUAGAGAAAAAUGGAGAAGCCAUUUAUUGUAAAACAUUUGUUAAAAACCAAUCUUCGGAUUGAAAAAAAAAAAAAAAUGUAUACUCUACUUUGUUGAUAAUAUACGGGUAGCUCCAAAUUUAUAUUUAGUGGAAUCGGACGGUCAUGUGACAGCGAGGCGAACUCGCCGCAGUGGACGGGGAAAGGCUUAUGCGACGGUAGUUAUUAUUGUAUUAACAAUAUACAGGUAGUUCCAAACUGAAAGUCGGACAAGGCGCACCAGUCAGCAAUAACAUAUACUUUGGAAGUUAUUAUACAGAAUAACUGCGGCCCCUGGCCAUGUUUUAGUUCAGGGAUGGCAAAUAAGUGGCACGCGUCCCAAGUUUGGCACGUAUGAAAUUUUCGAUGGCACUCGAAAAACUUUCAUUUGUCCAUACAUAUUUAUAGAUUUUUAAGUAGAUAACAUUCAAUAAAUUAAUUAUCAAUGGCACAUAUUAAUAAUCUAUAUUUCACAACGACGUAAUGUUAUCUUAUCUUUAUUAUUUUAAAAUAUAAUUUAUAUGGUCUAAUGUAGUGGGACUUUAGAUUUAAGAUUACUAGAAGUAUGUGGAUAAAUAAGAAUUAUAUAAUCAGUUUUCGUUCGUGUAUUGAAGGAAUACGACAGCGUGCGAGUUUUACGUUAUUAGUGUAUUUUAGUUAUAUUAAAAAUGUCACAUACAAAAAAACAAAAACUACACGGUGUUCGAAAUUUUUUACCAUCAUGGACAACUGAAUAUGGCUUUAUUAGAUAUGGAGAUAAAAAUCGUCGAUGUGGUUUGUGCUCAUUGGCACGGCUGAAAAUUUUGUUUUGAAUUGCGUCAUACAUUAGAACAUUGAACAUUUGCCAUCAUUAUUUUAGUCUAUCCUUAGAAGAAUUAUAUUGAAAUAAUUUUUUAAUAUUUUUACUGCGAUUGUACAAUGAUAGAAGAAGCUAAUGAUCCAGUUGAAGAAUGGGAUGUUUACAAAAUAAAAAUUAUUGCUGGAAAAACUUAUUGUAAUAAAUUUUUAUUUAAAUUAAUGAAGUAUUAUAGUUUUAUAACUAAGAAAUUAAGUCAUGAAAUUUUUUAAUAUGUAUUAUUUUACCAAACUUUUCUAAAGCAUGGCAUCAGAAGGUUUAUUAUUCCUAUUCAUGCACAGAUGUAGAUAAUGACUAGUUAAAACUGUAUCAACAAGAGAUGAUAGCGAUUCUAGUAGUUAGUAAUAAUACUUUAUUUAAAAUAUUAAGGUAUAUUAUUUUUUCAAUCUUUUAUAUAAAUCAAUUGUUCGAUGUUUAUCUAUACAAACCAUCAGAGAUAUAACCCAAACAAAUUCUACAGAAUCUUUUGCUGAAUUUUCAUAUAGAGAACUAAAUUUACCUAGUAUGUUAGCCUCCUGUACUUCUUCUGACAUUAGUUAUGGAAAACUAUGCUAACCCAGUACUAUGCUUACAUUCACUGAAGAAAGAUCUAAAGUAAUAUAUAUCUUAUUGAAUUUCAUACUUUUGGUAUCUCCUGAUAAAUCCCCCUGAUUUAUGAUAUAUUAUUUAGUUUUAUGUUCUUUGUGGUAUUAAAUAUUUUAAAAAUAAGCAUUUUAAAGGGAAGUGGGGUAAUUUUUUUAGAUAAAUGCUGAAGUGUUUAUUUCAAACUUACAUUUAGUAUGAUGGAAAAAUAUAAAGACCAGAAUUGAUUAAUUCAAAAUAAAAUCUUCUAAAUAUUCUAAGGGAAAAAAUGAAUUAACAACUAACAAUUAAAAAUAAGUCGUUUCAUAUCUUAAUCGUUAAUAUCAAUCGUUGUUGUAAAUGAAUGUAAAAAUAUAAUUUGUUGCGAAAUUAAUCUUAUCAAAAAACUUGGAUUUUUACAUUUAAUAAAACAUAACUAUUUUGUUUUAUUUUUCGGAAUCUUAGAACAAAAAAGUAUCCGAUAUUUCUAUAAAGUACUUUAAAAAAUUAAUUAAACUAGAACAAGAAAAGUGUGUCCCCACAGAAACAUUAUCUUUAAGUAAUUUGAAUGUAAUGAGUAGUGUUAAUAAUGAUACACCACCUACACAUAAUUCUGUUAAAGAAAUUACUCAUGCUGAAUGUCAUAAUAUUUUUUAUAAACCACUUAAUUUAAUCCUUCUAACUUGUGUGUUGAUACAUCUAAUGUUAUGCAAGUAAUAGACCCUCAAUAUUUACCCCUACUAAUUACUCCCUUGAAUUUAAGUGAUAAAUUAAGGUCAUUAUUUGUAAAAUAAAAAGUUUCACAUAACUUUUGUAAUUACUUGCUUCAAAUUUUACAAAGUGAAAGUGAUUUGUUGUUUCCAAAAAUAUAAGACUUUAUUUAAAACUCCA